ACCUGAUUGAACAUCUCUGGAGAGACCUAAAAAUAGCUGUGCAGCUACGCUCCCCAUCCAGCCUGACAGAGCUUGAGAGGAUCUGCAGAGAAGAAUGGGAGAAACUCCCCAAAUACAGGUGUGCCAAGCUUGUAGCGUCAUCCAAAAGAAGACUUGAGGCUGUAAUCGCUGCCAAAGAUGCUUCAACAAAGUACUGAGUAAAGGGUCUGAAUACUUAUGUAAAUGUGUGGGAAGGUUAGGUGGAGAGGAGAGGAGCAGGACAGCCUUUUUUCAAACACUAACACCACCUUUUACAUGGUACAAACACUGGUAUUUUAAGAAGCUAACAACACUGAGAAUAGUAGAUAAGGAGACAACCCAAUAUUAGCAAAAUGCAGACUGAUAAUAAAAUACUGUCAAAAAAAAUAAGAAAGUCACUCUCUUUGAUUUACGCUGUGAAUGAACCAACAUUUUGGUACACAAUGUUAGGAUUAAGGCCAUUACGAUUACGCUGCAGAAACAGUCACCAGUCCUAAAGUACAAACAAUUUGUGUGUCCUGCUGUUGUAUUUUCUUUAACUGCCUCUGGACAUUAGCAUGUGACCCACAGAGACAUUAGUGGUAUCAAGGUGUUCCAGGAGCAGACGGUCGUUGCCAUUAAGGCCCCGGAGAAGACCAAGCUGGAGGUGCCCACACCCAAGGAGGCUUCCAUGUCUUCUCCCUGGACCUCCUCAAUGUCCACCUCUUGAACAUCGGAAUCUGAGGCCUCAUCUUCACUGUCACUUUCCAACCUUGUUGAGGAUGGCUUGUUGUCAGGCUCAAAAAGCCUCAAAUUUUCGCGGAUGGCCACUAAUUUUUCAACCCUUGUAUUGGUCAGUUUGUCGCAUGCUUUGGUGUGUGUGUUCCCAAACAAGGACCAGUUGCGCACUGAGGCGGCUGAUGUUGGUGGGAUUUGGAGGAUGAUGGAGGCAACAGGGGAAAGAGCCACAGAUCCACAAAGUCCCUUCCACCAGGUGGCUAAUGAGAUAUGUUGGCACAGCUGCCAUAUUGCAUCUCCAUCUCAAAGCCCUUGCUUGGAAGUAUACUUCGCCAGACUGCCAAGAACCUUGCCCUCAUCCAGGCCAAGGUGGCGAGACACGGUAGUGAUAACAUCAUAGACCUUGUCGAUCUCUGCUCCAGACAGGAUGCUCUUGCCAGCAUACUUGGGGUCCAACAUGUACGCUGCAGCGUGUAUGGGCUUCAGGCAGAAGUCUUCAUGAUUGCAAUACAGUCUUCUUUCUCUAUGAUUUGCUUGACCUUCUGUUGAACUCUGCAUCCAGAAAAUGAGUAGAUAAAGCAUGUCUGGUUGGAGGGGUGUAUGCUGGGCGAAGAACAUUCAGAAAUCUCUUCCAAUAGACAUUGCCUGUGAGCAUCAGAGGUGAACCAGUUGCAUUCACAGCUCGAGCAAGACAUUCAUCAGCAUUUCUCUGACUACGUUCCUCCAAUGAGUCAAAAAAACAGAUUCUGAUUCCAGGAGGACCAUGAGCUGUUGCUAUCGAUAAGGUGUCUGAUUCAUCAUUUUCACCUUGAAUAGAAGUAGAGGGACUUUUGUCAGAGGUUGCUUGUUAUGAGCGCUGAGGGAACUUUAUGCACUUGGCCAGAUGAUUCUGCAUCUUUGUUGCAUUCUUCACAUAUGAUUUGGCACAGUAUUUGCAAAUGUACACAGCCUAUCCUUCUACAUUAUCUGCAGUGAAAUCUCUCCACACAUCAGAUAGUGCCCGUGGCAUUUUCCUGUAAAGAUUAGAAAAAAAUGAGUAAAAAAAAAUAUAUAUAUAUAUAUAUAUAUAUAUAUAUACAAUUCCAUGUACAGAUAAAUAGUUAAGCAGUUUGAUUAAAACUCCUUUGUAAGAUAAAUGUUUUAAAAUUAAACUUGUAUGGAAACAGGUGAAUUAACACUCCUCAGUUAGCAGGCUCAAGCAAGCUAAAAACUCACAUGGUAGCAAAAACUAACUAGCAGAAAUUGUUAAGUUAGAAAUUAUUUAAACACACUUUGCUGUAGGCUACUAUUUACUAGUUAACAAAAAAUCAUGUAUGUCAUAUAAAAUGUAUUCACCCCACUCAGUAUUGUAAUCAAAACUUACCAGAAAGCAUGUAGUCCUUGGCUCAGACAGAGGUAGUAGUGUGGGCUCAAUAGCAUCUCAUUAGUGUGCAAGAUCUUGAGAAUCAGCUGUACAUGUGAUGGAAGAAUGCACUGUGCUUGCAGAGGGUUGCAAUUCCAUUGAAUUGGGGAUAGUUUAACCAAAAUAUGCCACAAGAUCUAGAAUUGCCAUGUGUAUCCCACAAAAAAAAGGUUCACUGUUAUAAGCCAACUUUUUUUGGAUGAAUUUAAGCAAAAUUCCCCAAAUUCCAGGGCUUAACUUCCCAUGGAAAUUUCCCAAAAAGCUUCCGACCAUUUGCAACCCUAAUUGUGAUUUAUCAGCGGGUAUUGCAGCCCCCUCAGUACCCCCAGUUCCCUUGGAACUGUGGAUUUGACCAUUGUCUAAAGCAGGGUCAUCGUGUAAAAUAGUGGAUUGGAACAUAAUGUAUACAUGUUCUUUGCUUAUGUAAAAAAAUAAAUCUGACCAUGUUUUA